AUGUAUCAGAUUUCAAAGUUAUUGAGGGAAGAUUAAGUCUAAAUUGUCAGACUGAAGCCAGCUGUUCAGAAGCCAUGCUUGAUUGGAGCACCUGUUGCUACUUUCUCUUCCUCUUGUCUGGUCUGGUCCAGCUAAAGGUUUCGUGGCAGCAGACACCACCAUGAGUCCAUUUGUCCUGCUUUGAGUUAAGCGACUGCCUCCUAAAUGUGCUUUUUCUCUCAUGAGGUUGGUUGGAUGUGUUUGAAGGGGGGCCGUGGCAUCUUACCCCUUUGGACUCCGUUGACUUUGCCUUUGUUCCUGUUGCCAAGCUACCCUGCUCUUUUGGCAAGCACAAAGGUGAUUUUAUCCAGCCCUGGAGGAAUGUUCUCAUCUUUAUCCAGAUAACUUAAAUCCAAGUCUUGGUGGCUUUAGCUAGUGAUACACUUUUUGUUUUCUUUGUUUGUUUCCUUGUUCCUGGAGAAUUAAGCUGUUUUUUUUUUUUCUUUUGGGAGUUGCUCUUAAAACCGUAAAGAAGCAGGCUCAUCUGCCCCUCACCACGUCGUCUUUUCAUGCUGAGUCUAAGUGUGCUUCACGAGCCACCAAAAUAGCUUUGCUUCAUAUGGCGUGAGGGUUUGAAACCCUCUGCUCAUGUCCAUGCUCAUCUGCUGGCAACCUGGCUUACAUAACUCUCCCUCACACUCCCAAGACAAUGGGAAAGACGGAGCAAACAAUCAGAGAGUUUGCUUUGCCCGUCGGCAGACACAGAUGACAUCAGGGGCCAGUAAUGUUUGGAGCACCUGUGCCGGAGGGCCCUGUAUUUACCGACACUGACGGCUCAGACUAUGGAAUGUUGUGUAAACACUGGAAAGAAUCCGGGGGAUCCCUUAAACCUGAGGGUUAAGACUGUCCUCAGGCUGCCAACACCUCAGCUCUCAGCAUGUUUGAGCUUGAAAAUAUGCAAGGCAGUGAUUUUUUUUUUCUCUUUCUUUCUUUUUCUACUUUGCCCUUUGUGUUUAAGUCUUAUACAUCCAGAAACUUCUAUCAUUGUGGUUGGUUUUCACACUCACUAGAUUUCCAUAAGUGCAAAAUCAAGUUGCAUAAUUCUUGCCAUGCAUUACAGAUUUUUAAGAUUUUAAUUAAUUAAUUAAUUAAUUAGUUUGUUUAGCUGUGUCUUUGCUAAAUCCUUUCAAACGUCAAAACGCAUCUAAACAGUUCAAAAGCCCAAAAACCUGUUAACCAGCUGAUGCCAGCCAAGACUUAACAAAAAAUAAUUUCAGAAUUGUUUAAUUGCACUAAAGCAUUACAUAUUGACAG